rnacentral:lncRNA from 1 species
GACCAAGCGAGCUGCGACGUAUUGCCCCACUGUCAGCGCAUAAGCCUUCUGGCAUAGGUGUAUAUCAACCUCAAGCAUACUUGGCUGUGGAUGUCACUGCAACUUUAACACUCCAUGAAGCGACGUAUGUAUUGAAUAUCUCUGGAAUUUAUUGUCUCCGUGUUUUAAAAUUUCUGAGGACACGUGUGUCGUUUGUAAAGACAAAUCAGACCCUAAAUAGGGUCCUCUGAACUAAUACCUCAAAUUUAAUGUGCAGGCCUACUCACCCCAUGCACCCAAGCCACAGCUGCAACAUAUUGCCUCGUCAGCGAAGUCAGCUCAUAGGCGCAUACUUCUAAAGUACAUUGGACAGAUCAACCGGACCAAAAGGCGGGGUAAAGGAAAAGGCAGCGGAAUAGGACCAAGGGUGCUCAGCCUUAUCAAAGCGCUUUGAAUAAUAAAUGUGCAAGUAUUGAC